CUUCUUUCCAUUUGAAACCGUCUACAACAUCUCUGACACCCCUCGACCCCUUGUCUGGCCGAACACCAAUCGGCGCUGCAUCCCCCUCACCCCCUGGAUCCCCUGCCAGAUCCCCUUCCACUCUCUCCAAGUUCUUCAGCCUCUCUUCCCUCUCCUCUCUCCACAUGUCAUCUGUCUCUUCUUCUUCUUCAGAGGAAGGAUCACAGACCUCCUCCCCUUUUAGUGCUUCCUCUGUUUCCCUGGCUGUCUCAACUCAGCCAUCCUCCUCUGCCACUCCCCCCAGUCCUGCCUGCCCUUCCUCCACAACCCACGUCUCCUCCCUGCCCCCCAGUCCUCCUCUCCAAACCCCGUGGACCACCAUGGAGAGACCAACAAAGACAGUGAGACUGCCAGAGAUCUUAUGAGCUCUGAGGUCAAAGAGGUGGGGGCAUUUGUUCCACAGACAAAGAGAAUGGUACCCCGAUUUGCUGGCA
rnacentral:lncRNA from 1 species